GCCGGGGUAGUCUAGCGAUUAAUAACCGCUAGACUACCCCGGUUCAUAACCCGGGUCAUAACCGCCGAAUAUGACGUCUGCCUUACACGCAGAAGGUCGCGAGUUCGAUCCUCGCCUCUGGUA